GCCUCCUUAGCUUAGUGGUAGAGCAUCUGUCUUGUAUUUUCAUGCAUAACAGAAGGUCGUGUGUUCAAUCCACAUGGGGGGCA